rnacentral:rRNA from 1 species
AUUGAACGCUGGCGGCAGGCCUAACACAGGCAAGUCGAGCGAGCGGCGGACGGGGGAGUAAUUUCUGGGAAACUGCCUGAUGGGGGGGGAUAACUCCUGGAAAGGGUGGCUAAUACCGCAUACCAUCGGAUGUGCCCAGAUGGGAUUAGCUAGUAGGUGGGGUAACGGCUCACCUAGGCGACGAUCCCUAGCUGGUCUGAGAGGAUGACCAGCCACACUGGAACUGAGACACGGUCCAGACUCCUACGGGAGGCAGCAGUGGGGAAUAUUGCACAAUGGGCGCAAGCCUGAUACAGCCAUGCCGCGUGUGUGAAGAAGGCCUUCGGGUUGUAAAGCACUUUCAGUGGGGAGGCGUUACCCGCAGAAGAAGCACCGGCUAACUCCGUGCCAGCAGCCGCGGUAAUUC